rnacentral:rRNA from 1 species
CUACGGGCGGCUGCAGUAGGGAAUAUUGGACAAUGGGCGAAAGCCUGAUCCAGCAACACCGCGUGCACGAUGACGGCCUUCGGGUUGUAAAGUGCUUUUAGAGGAGAUGAGAAAGGACAGUAUCCUCUGAAUAAGCCUCGGCGAACUACGUGCCAGCAGCCGCGGUAAAACGUAGGAGGCAAGCGUUAUCCGGAUUUAUUGGGCGUAAAGCGCGUGCAGGCGGUCUAGCAAGUUGGAUGUGAAAGCUCCCGGCUCAACUGGGAGAGGUCGUUCAAUACUGUUAGACUAGAGAAUAGGGGAGGGAGGUGGAAUUCCGGGUGUAGUGGUGAAAUGCGUAGAUAUCCGGAGGAACACCAGUGGCGAAAGCGGCCUCCUGGACUAUUUCUGACGCUAAGACGCGAAAGCUAGAGUAGCAGACGGGAUUAGAUACCCGCGUAGUC